CAAAAGAUAGUUUAAUGAAAAUACUAGUUUUGGGUAUUAGUGAUAAGGAUUUGAAUUCUUUUCUUUUGA
rnacentral:tRNA from 1 species